rnacentral:rRNA from 1 species
AUUACAUAAGUCUUGGUUUAUUAGAUCAUACGAAUCAUAUGGAUAACUGUGGAAAAUCUAGAGCUAAUACAUGCCACGAUGCUUCGACUAGCGAAGAGGAGCUUUUAUUAGGUCAAAGCCAAUGAUCCCCUAACGGGGUUCAAACGUUGUGCUGAUUCUGAGUAAAGUAAGCUGAUUGCAUUGCCUGAAAAGGGCAGGCAAGUGGCUUUUAAGCGUCUUCCCCAUUAACUUUUCGUUGGAGUUGAACUGGCCACCCUGGGCCGUACCGGGAAACGGGAAACCAGGGUCCAAUCCCGAAAAAAAACAAGAAAAACCGCUGGUCCCUUCCAAGGAAGGCGCAGGGGCGCCAAUUACCCCAUCCCAGAUUGGGGAAGGAGUGGCCAAAAAAAACCAUGCCCUAAUCCUCCGAAUCCGCAAUUGGAAAGAAAAACAUCAAAAUUCUUUUACCGAGAAUCAUUUGAAGGGCAGUUUUGGGGGCCGCAGCCCCCGUAAUUCCAGCUUCAAUAACCCAAGGU